UGGGUCAGCAUCAACCACAACAUAGCAG
rnacentral:piRNA from 1 species